UACGUAGGGGGCAAGCGUUGUCCGGAUUCAUUGGGCGUAAAGAGCGUGUAGGCGGCCAGGUAGGUCGGUUGUGAAAACUGGAGGCUCAACCUUCAGACGUCGACCGAAACCAUCUGGCUAGAGUCCGGGAGAGGGUAGUGGAAUUCCCGGUGUAGCGGUGAAAUGCGUAGAUAUCGGGAGGAACAUCAGUGGCGAAGGCGGCUACCUGGCCCAAUACUGACACUCAGGUGCGACAGCGUGGGGAGCAAACAGG
rnacentral:rRNA from 1 species